rnacentral:rRNA from 1 species
UACGUAGGGGGCUAGCGUUGUCCGGAUUUAUUGGGCGUAAAGAGCGUGUAGGCGGCCAGGUAGGUCUGGUGUGAAAACUCGAGGCUUAACCUUGAGAUGUCAUCGGAAACCAUUUGGCUAGAGUCCGGAAGAGGAAAGUGGAAUUCCUGGUGUAGCGGUGAAAUGCGUAGAUAUCAGGAGGAACACCUGUGGUGUAGACGGCUUUCUGGACCAUAACUGACGCUGAGACACGAAAGCGUGGGUAGCAAACAGG